UUGAGCCUUAAUUAAAUCUAACGCGAAAAUCAAAGGGAGAAAGAUCGUGAAAGAGCUCAAGCUCGCAAUUCUAGCAAAAGGAAGACGUCUAAAACCGACGGUUUAACACCUGAGCAGCGUCGAGAAAGGGAUGCAAAAGCGUUGCAAGAGAAAUUAGCGAA